UCUCAGAAGGGUUGCCCUAUUCAUCCCGCCUGCACUUCGACUUGCUCCAGGUGCUACAGCCACCUGUUUGCUCCAAUUUUUGGAGCUUUUCUUGUUCUGGCCACCCUCCAUCUUCUCACCGAACGGUUUCUCCCGGUUUGCCCCCCAAGUGGAGAUCGAAGCUGCCCAUCUCGUGGCUCGAUUCCUUGCUGCUCCGAUUCUUCGUGAGCUGCUAUGUUUUGCUCGAGUUGGUUCGGAGGCUGGGCAAAGGGCCUUGCAGUGGCCGUGGUGGCCUUGAAGCUCAUCUCCUCAUCCUUCAUUAGCCC
rnacentral:lncRNA from 1 species